rnacentral:lncRNA from 1 species
UUCCUCAAUAUCACGAGUCCAGAGAGACCACUCCAUUUGUACAGCUGUGAUGGGAUGAACUGCAUGUGCCCUCCUUAUUGUGUCCGGGCUAGCUUCUGAUAAACCGAUGUACUUUACUUUCCCUUCUUCCACCAGUUUCUUCAGCUCACCAAUCUAAACUCCAGAAAGAAAACCAAAAAGUAUCUAAUCAAACUAACAUGCAGAGUUUAUUAUACAAUUGUGGUGGCUGCAGCUGAAUAAGGAAGAGAAUCACAUACAGUUUCCUCUAUAGGCACUGAAGUGUCCACCCGAUGUUGGUAAUACAGAUCAAUGUAGUCCACACCAAGACGCUUCAAGCUAGCUUCGCAGGCUGAACGGACAUACUCAGGAGUACCCUUGAUUACAAUAGUAGGAGGGUCAACGGUUCCUGUAAUGCCAAACUUUGUGGCUAAUUGAAUUUUUUCUCUUGGCAACUGCUUCAAGGCCUAAAAAAUUAAAACUUUGCAAUUAGGCUUGCAGAAAAUCAAUAGAAAAGUCCUUCGUUACUUGUAAGGCAGCUGCAAGUUUCUUCUUCUUGACAAGAAUAGAAGAAACAUACAAAACAUUGAGACAUAUACAUUUAGCUCUUAUUCUGCUUCUCUUAACUUGUGGAGUUCGUGUAAUCAUUCAGAAGUUGUUGACAAAUUCAGAAGCGGAGAGACAUGCAUACCUUCCCAACAAGAACCUCAUUCAAAUGAGGUCCAUAUACAUCAGAUGUGUCAAAGAAAGUGAUUCCUUUACUGAAGGCAUCUUUGAUUAUCGAGAUUCCAUCCUCAUCAGCGACAGGAGAGUUGUAGACUCCAGUCAGGCCCAUGCACCCAAAACCCAAUUUUGAGACCUGAAAGGAGAUCAUAAAUUCUGAACUAAAGCAGGAAAAACUGUUCCAAGUUUCAGUCUUGGAAUCUGAAAUUCCCUUUCCCUCGGCCAUAUUAUUUUUCCUCUAUGUAAUUUCUUUAGAUCCCUUUCCUUUUAGAUCAAUCCCAAAUAUAAAUUGGAUUUGUUAAUACAAAGUCUACCCUGCGUUAGGAUUAAAUCAUUGGAUUGUUUUCCACCCAAGAAGUCAGCUUUCUGGAAAAAGAUGCAACUGACUGUGUUUUAGAGUCGUAAUUUGAAAACUAUGAACAGGAAAGGAUAAGUUGAAGAGUAAGAUGUACGUACCUCAAGUCCUUGAUUUCCCAAUUUAACUCUAGGAAUUUCGACUGUGUUAUCUUCAGCCAUCUUUCUAAACUUUCAGCUCUCUGUUUUCGGCUUUUCUUUUCAAUGGUUUUUUUAGGGUCCGCUCCUCCCAGUUUGGUGGACUCUCUUUUUUGGACAAGGAGGUUGGUGGACUGUGACGUCAAAAAGAAAUUUAAAUCAGAAAAGUAAAAAUGACGAGUAAUGCACCAGCCGGGAAUCGAACCCGGGUCUGUACCGUGGCAGGGUACUAUUCUACCACUAGACCACUGGUGCACUGGAUGCACAUAAAAAGAAAUUAGUGAAAUAUAUUAAAUAAAACUAACUUGUAUAAGAGCAUCUUCAAAAGAGAUGUGACAAAAAUGGAAGGAAAAAUUUAUUCCAAUUGAGUCAAAUCGUACAUGCAUUUAUAGGUUUUAAUGACAAAUAUUACUUUCAUACAUUUUCAGUCUUAAUGCCCUUGCAUUUGACAUCUUCGCUUGGUGAAUUCAGCAAAUAACGUGACACCUAUAUUAGAGAGUUUCAGUUAAUAAUGUAAUUAGCAUUUCUACACAUGUAAUACUAUUUUCCUUCUUUCGUAAGACUGUUGAGCAAGCUUCAGAGAAUGAUGACUUCGUAUCUUGAAGACUAAAUUACGUUAAUCAUAGAUAGGGGAUUUAUUAACAUAUAAGAAUUUGAAUUCCUUUAAAUCAUAUAUAUCUUCCCAAAAAGAAACAAGAACACAAAAAAAUGAAAAGGCAAGGGGAUAAUUAAAAGAGAAAUCAAAUUAAUUAAGAAACAGUUGAUCUGGGUGCUAGCCCUCCUCUUUACCAAAGCAAAAAAAAAUUAAGAAGCAAUCUCCACAUCGCAAUUAUCCACCGGCUGACCCUUGAUGAGGUUUGGACCACCGUUGUUCAAAUCCCCCAACCUGAUAUUCGCCGGGCAAUGCACGUACAAGUGAUACUUGGGCGAAAUCCAAGUCCCUACUUUCCACUUCACGUCCCCUUGAAGCUUGAUAUUCAUCAGGACAACCCCAGUAUGCCAAUCUUGAUCCAAAGACUGCUGUGAAUAUGGAGAAAUCGGCAUGUCGUAGCCAGUCAAAGGAGGUGACCACACCACAGGUUCCUUGUGCCCUUGGUACGUAGGAGGCAAGAGAUAAGCCAUUGUUAUCUGCUGGUCUCGAUAUGUGGCGUAGACGUGGAGAGGCUGGUAAUCUACGCCUAUCCGAGAAUUAGGGUUUCUAGAGGACAGUGUGACCUGCAUGAUGAUGGUGAUGGCGUAGGGCGGUGCCUUGGAGACGUUGAACUGAUAAACGGUGACGUCUUCGAGGUUGAAGCUUGGCUUGGAGGGGUGGAGAACGAGGAACACAACAAACACUAGGAGGCCAAUAAAGACAAUAAGGCCACCGGUGCCCCAUGCGAACCACUUUAGUUUCCUGCUGCUAAUGCAGCCGACGUUGACGCUGGCUAUCUUUUCACUCAUGGCGGGGAGUGGAUUGCGUGGCGGCGACGGGAUCCGGAUUGAAGGCAGAGAUAUGAUCUCUAGCUGAGGAAAGUUGUCGAACUAAACGUAUGCGGACUAGUGUGAGAUAACUUACCAACAGGGAGUUUGAUAAAGGGUCUAGUGUGAAAACAUAUAGCGAAAAAAAAGUUAGAGUAAGCAAAAAUAGAAUUUGAGUAAUACUGAAAGAAUAAAAAUUUUAAUCACUUAAAAAAAGAUUUGAUAGAAUUCGAUGCAUUCACAUUCCCAUCAUUAUAUAAUUCCGUGAAAAAUUCAUGAAUUCCUACAAUAAAAGUUAUCCGUUUUCCAAUGAAGAAAAUAAAUUUAGCUAUCUUUUUUUCUUGAAAAUAACAAAACAAGCUAUUUUGUGUGACUAUGGAUGUCGAUUCUUGUACCCAAAAAGAUUGUCAUGGAAAAAUAUGAAGUCAACCUAAUAUAUCUAGUAAUCAAAGCAUGAAUCAAGUAUUUUAUGAUUGAAAUAAAUGAAUUAAAGUUUGGCAAAACUACUAACCGGAUGCAUUAUCAUCUCCAUGACUGAACAAAACGUUUGAAUAGGAGAGCAGCCAUACACGAACGCUCUGCAAACUAUAAGAUUUAACCCUAAUUGUACACAGUAUGUACAAUGUAUAGUUCUCUUGUAUAUAUAUAUAUAUAUAUAUCGAUUUUUCUUGUUAUUUUUUUUAAAUAACUUGGCAGCAUUCUUCAUGGAACAAAUCAGGAAUGAUUAUUUUUUCGAAGCAAGGAUUGAAGAAGAAGCAAUACCUUAAUAAAUGCGAUUUUUUGCUGUCAAAAUAUAUAAGAUGAUUUGCUUCCAUUUUUGUUGUAAUUUUCCUUGUUUUUCAAUUCAAUGCGAUUUUCUUUCAAUAAAAAACUGUCUAGUGGAUAUAUCUUUGGAUGUCUGCCAUCAUUCAUAACUGGGGGAUCUUAAAAGAUAUUUCCUUCUUUUUGUCUUCCUGUUCUUUUGUUUCCUUUUUUUGUUCAUAACCCCCCGUACGUGUUAACAAAACAAAUAUCAUAAUUAGUGGGAGACAGAAAACACAUUUCUUAAAUUCUGUAGCUAAGGAUAUCAUAAUUUGUGGCUCAUGAUCAUCACAAAGAACAAGGCUUUGUCAUGCCACACAAGCUAAGGAUAUCCUCGAACAAGACUUGGUCUUGCCACACAAGCCAAGGAUAUCCCUUCAGAUCAGUUGGCUUGCGUAUUAUGUACCUCUUUGUAAAUUUGUUAAGGCACAUCACCUUAAAAUCGUAUUGCACGUAUAAAGACGGAGCAAGAUCUUCUUCGAUCCUUGAUCGUCUUUUGUUUCUUUUAUCUUUUUCAUAAUUUCAUGCUUAAAACUAGAUGAUAUCCUUUACAGGAAAUAUUUUAAAUCAGAAAAUAAAGGGACAAACUAGAAAAGUAGGGGGUUCAAUAAAGCAAAACUAAAAGAUGAAGACAUCAUUGAUGGGAGAUUUCAAGCACAUAUUUUUCCGAACAGCUAAACCGUGGGAAAUGGAAUGACCAGAAUGAAAGCAAAGAAUCUAACGUGCAUAGUGUGCAUACUCAAGACACCUAUGUAUGUAUCAAUGUGUUUACCCAGAAAAGGACCCGCCGGCCAUUCACUUCGAGUUUGGCUGUGGAGUUUGCUUUUUGAGAUUGCGAAGGUGUGUCAAGGUUGGCAGUGAAAAACUCCAAUAGACUGAAAAUGGUAAGACUAAAAAAUGCGCACCGAUAUUGACUUUAAUCAAUCGAUUGUGGAUUGGACAGGGAACUGACCCAAUACAAGGUUCUUUUCUAUGCCUCAAUUAAGAAGACUUCAAUAUUCAUCUAGCGCAAAAAUGGUAACGGACAGAAGCUGAAAUUGAACGAUAAUGAAAAUGACAUAAGUUUAUCGGAAUAUUUAUCUAUUUAGAAAACUUGAAAGAAAAAUGAAGUACAUAAACAACACACCCUGAAGAUUUAUCUAUUCAGACCUGGUACGUAAAAUUAAAAUGGAGAUUGAAGAUUUCUCUAUUCAAUCUUGUACAAGGAAAAAUCAUACCAAGAGUUGGCAUAGCCAAAUAAAGAAAAUUAUUCAUGAGUAAUCAACUAGGAAAUUCAGAGAAUGAAAAAGGGAGGCUGUUUCAAGCUUUUGAGUUGGGUUUAUAGACGUUGAGUCUGAUUUUUGUUGGUUGAGUUGUGUUUGAUAAUUUCUCCUUCAAUUUAUAGAGAAUGGAGGUUGGUUGAGUGGACCAGCAGUCAAUUUGAAAUACCCCCUUGCCAUUGAUUUUGGUGAGUGGGUUGCUGAAAAUAUAAGUGAACCCGAAAAAGUUGCUAAGAGGCUUUGAUGUGAUUUGACAGAAGUUAUCACUAUUAGACUUAAAGAAAUCCAAAAUAUUAGUCCACUUGUCAUUGAUUGGUGAGUGAUAGCCAAAAGUAGCUGACUAAAAGACAAAAAGAAAUAGAGAGAUAAUGACCACCAUCUCUACUUCUUUCUUUAUUAAUUCUUUAAGCCCACUUGCAUAUUAUUUUAUUCUUCUUUCAACUUUGGUGUAGACUUUUCACGUGCAUGUUGAGCUUUGGCUUUGUUUUAAUAUUCUUAAUCACAGAGGAUAUUAAAUUUUCUCCAUCUACCACAACAUUAUUUUAUUCUUCUUUGAAUCAACUCACUUGUGAUGUCCCUCUAUUGAUAAAGUGAAACUUGAUUUGCAGCCAUUGAGUUUCUCCUCCGAACAUGCCCUGAUGCAUAAUGAACUAGGAAUGCUAGAUUGAUCCAAUUUCUACAAAUUUCGGAUAUGUUGUUCUCCACAUAAGUAGGAACAACAUUGAUGAAGAACUUAAUUCCAUUUGAGUAAUGGAAAAUCUGAUUUAGCAUGGUUGCAACUGACUGGUCGUCAUACACUGCCCUCACGAAUAGAAAUCAUGAUUAGCGCUCUAAAGAUUCAAUACUUAGGGAAAUGACGCCAAAUUCGGAUAUGUUGUAGUGGACAUCCAAAUGAACAACUUUCAUGAAGAAUGAAUAUUCAUUUGAUGACUGGAAGCUGGCCCGAAUUGCCACUGUUAUCAGCUUUUGCUGUUACUGGUAUGCUUCUGAUGUUUGAUGUCUCGAGGAUUCCACAUUUAUCCAAAUCAUUCCAAAUUUGGAUAUGUUGCAGUAGACAUUCUAAUGAACAACUUUUAUGAAGAAAGAAAAUUCAUUAGAGUAUUGGAAUUAGGCCCAAAUUGCAGCUAUAAGCUUUUUACUGGCGUUGUGCAUCUGAUGUUUUCAGCUCUUAGGAUUCAAAAUUUGUCCGAAUAAACCCAAAUUUGGAUAUAUUGCAGUAGACAUAGAGAUGAACAACUUUUAUGAAGAACGAAACUUGAUUUGAGUGCUGGAAGUUAAAAUUUGGGCUCACUCCAUCUGUCUGCAGCAAUACAUGUCUAGCCAUAUUUUGGGCAUUUUGAUGUUCAUGGAACAUUACCUUCCAUUUUAGACAAAAGUACAAUUUUUGGUACAAACACAAUGUGUUUUCUCUUUCAAAGCCAUGAGAUGAGAGUAGUUAUGGAAGUCUGAUUAUUUUCUUCAUCUAUUGGACUAUGCUUUAAAUUUCUUUGUUGAAUUAAAAAAUCUGGAGAAGAAACAUUUUAUGCAUAUUCCUUUGACGAAUAUAGUGUGUUAGGCCCAAUACCCACACCCAAUUAGGCCUGAAAGUUCAAAUCUAAAUUCUAGUCCAAUAUUCGGCUUCAAACUCUCCUUUUUAGGCCUAACUCCAAAUUUUGGAAAUUACAAAUGGGCUCAGCUCGAAUGAGAUUUUUUAUUUUAAAUUUUAUUAUAUAUAUUUAUUUCUAUAAGUGACAGUGAGAAGGAGAGUUUUUUUCACGAUGUCAAGGUGUUAUGGGAAUCGAAUGAAGCCUAUCAAAUGCCCUUGAAUGAAUAAAGUAGUCGAGAUGCUCGAAGGAGAAAUUGAGAGCCUCCAAGGCCUUUCUUAUAUCCACAACAAAUUCUUGCAGAUGAAGUUGGUGUGGACAAUCCAUGUCCCUGUGCAUCAACUUCUUCAGAAUUUGUAGAAAUUACUUUUAUUGCUGAUGCAAAUGAAGUGAAUUAAUAUUAAUCAAGAUAUGGAUCUAUGUAAGUGAAAGUUAGCAGCUCUACUCUGUAUUUGAUCCUAGCAUAAAUAUGUUUACAUGUUAUAAUUAAUAUAUAUUAUGUUAAUUAAUAUUUUAUAAAUGUUUAGUUUAUCAUGAAAUUCUCAACAACAAAAAAAGCCUUAGCCCAGUCCAACUUAAGUAACCCAAUGUAGCCCAACCAAAUUCCUUACAACACGUUCAAGCCCUAAUAGUCCGGCUUGUGUAAGUGGGCUUGGGCCGAGGUAGUAAAACCGACCAAAUUAGCACGAAGAAAUGCCUAAGUCCUAAAAGCCCAACUUGGUCCCAUGAAAGGCCAUAUAACCCACUUUACUUGACCUCUCUUUCUCCCUCUUCAAUGUAGUUCUUUAAAUGCCAAAGUUAUUUUCAACUGAAUUAUUGGAGCAGUCAAUUUUCACAUUUUCUCGUAUCAAUACUUCUUACAUACAUACAUUUCAAUUAACAUUUUUAGGAUGUCCACGUCAAAGGCUAUAGCACAUGUGUGAAUUUUGCAAAAUAUAUGCACACGUCAACACGUACUAUCGUGAAAAAUAAAAUGCAUAUUUAAAAAUAAAAAAUAUUACGUACUUCGAUGUCCAAGAAGUAUCUACAAAAUGACAGAUUUUAAUUUUCCUACUGCAUCUAAGAAACUCAGAUUCUGCCUCGUGUUUUGCGUAAUUUACAUCAAAACCUUAUUAGACUUUUCUCAUUUUUUGGUUAUGUUUUAAAUAAUUUAAAAUAAUAAAUAAAAAGUGACAUGUUUUAUCAUUAAAUAUAUAUGUGGGAAGUGGGUAAAAAAAUAUACAUGUUUUUUAUCAAAACAAAGAAAGUCCAAAUAAUCACUAAUGCAGAAAAUAUUUCCUGACAUGAGGAGUGGGUUGGAGAGAUUCUCAAGCUUAGGUAGUUCUCUAUCGUGGAAUAAGUGUUUAAUUCUCAUUGAACUUUCUUUCUUUUAUUUUUCUUUUUGUCCUUUUUUUCUUUUGGAAUAGGAUGAGUACCACACAACAUGAGUAUAUGGUCAAAGUCUUCGCUCUACGUUGCUUGCACUUGGCUUCUUGCUUCACUAGGUCCAAAAACCUUUUGGAAAUUUCAUUAGUCUUCUUCAUAUGAAAGGAAAUUUCUUUGGGGUGGCUCAGAAUGGGGACAAUGAUAAAUAGACAUAGCUGUGUUUGAAUAUUAAUCAACAAUUUUGAUCACAUACUUGGUAUCUUCUGUAUCUUUGAGUUUAGUGGAGAGAAUGGUCUAUUCCCUUGAAAACAAUAUAUAGACUAGUUUAUUGUCAAUUGUGUUCGAAUGUUCAUUCAUGAUCUAAAAAAUGAAAGGUUGGACCCAAACGACUGGUUAGCAUUUUAUCAAUUUUAUUUUUAUUUUUAUAGGGAUAUCUAGCAAAUACAUAUUAUGCGGUGUUAUAUCGGAAGUGGAGGAUUCAUUGGUGACUUGCUAGGCAAAAAUAUUCAAUUCGUUUGGCUAUUCCAAAAGCGAUAUCUUGCAACAAAAAAUGAAUUCUUAUUAUAUGUUGAUGAUAAGAAACUUGGCAAUGAGCCUUUUGGAAAGAUUUCAUGAACCAAGAACAUUUGGGUUGGAAAAACCUUGUGGAAAUUUCAGGCCAACUGAAUGGUCCAAGUUUCUCUUUGUUUCGGCGUGUAUACAGCUAUAAAUAGACAAGUACCCAACAGCUAUAAAUAGACAGGCCAACUGAGGGUUUAAUUCUCAUUGAACUUUCUUUGUUUUUUUUUUUUUCUUUUUGUCCUUUUUUCUUUUGGAAUAGGAUGAGAACCACAUAACACCCUUGACGAGGUGUGCUGCAGACCCUUGACACGGUACUUGUUAACAAAACAAAUAUCAUAAUUAGUGGGAGACAGAAAACACAUUUCUUAAAUUCUGUAGCUAAGGAUAUCAUAAUUUGUGGCUCAUGAUCAUCUCAAAGAACAAGGCUUUGUCGUGCCACACAAGCUAAGGAUAUCCUAGAACAAGACUUAGUCUUGCCACACAAGCAAAGGAUAUCCCUUCAGACCAAUUGACUUGCUUAUUAUGUACCUGUUUGUAAAUUUGUUAAAGCACAUCACCUUAAAAUCAUAUUGCACGCGUAUAAAGACGCAGCAAGAUCUUCGAUCCUUGAUCCUUGAUCCUUUACAGGAAAUAUUUUAAAUCAAAAACUAAAGGGACAAACUAGAAAGGAGUAGGGGGUUCAAUAAAGCAAAGCUAAAAGAUGAAGACAUCAUUGAUGGGAGAUUUCAAGCACGGAUUUUUCCAAACAUCUAUAACUGUGGAAAAUGGAAUGACCAGAAAGAAAGCAAAGAAUCUAACAUGCAUACUCAAGUCUCCUAAUUAUACAAUGAUUUAUCAACUAUAUAAAACUAGGAAAGUAAAUCCCUUAAUUAAUCAAGGAAGUAAAUUGCCUUGAUUAAUUAGGAGACUCACGUCAACACAAUCAAAUCUCCAAUCUUGGCCAAAAAAGAAAUACAAAAAAAAUCUAUAGCUUAUUAUAGGGUUCUUUAGUUUUAACCCAUAAAAUACUUAAAUAAUUUGGAAGAAAGAUAAUGAAUUUUGCUUAAUUAAUAUAAAACCAAAGCCACCUAAUUUUACCAAAAGGACAUCCAACAACCCUAAAAUUACUACAUGUGCCAUUGUGCUUAACUGUCAAAUACAGUUUAUUUAAUUAUAAACCAAAACUUAAAACUGUCAAAACGACAUAACAUUCCCACAAAACACAACACAAAACGACACUACUCAAAUUUAAUCACUUCAAAAACUGGUUUCGCGCGACCUUUCAUAUCCCACUCCAAAAACGCAACCGACGAGCAGAAACGAAUACGAGCAGAAACUAGCAGAAACGAAGACGAGAAGAAACGAAGACGAGCAGAAACGAAGACGAUGAGCAACGGCGACGGCGACGACGAGCAACGACCACCAACGACGACCGAAGCUAAACCGUAAGAAAAUGAAUCAGUACUCUCUUCGAUUUUAGGUUUUACACCGACGACGGUUUCAGUACUGUUUCUUCCUUUUGGUUUCUGGUUGUUUGUAGCAGAUUUUGACCAGAAACUGCAAUGCAGUUUCUGAUUCCAUAAUUCAUUUUCAGAGUGCUUUUUGCUAGGGUUUAUGGGAAUGUUAUAACUGCCCAUGAAGUUAAAUGUGUUUUGAUAUUCGUUUUUGCUACUGUUUUUGCCUUUUGGUUUCUGGUUGUUUGUCUUCGAUUUUGACCAGAAACUUGGUUUCUGGUUGUUUGUAGCAGAUUUUGACCAGAAACUACAAUGCAGUUUCUGGUUCCAUAAUUUUAUUUCAGAGUGCUUUUUGCUGGUUUAUGGGAAUGUUAUAACUGCUAAUGAAGUUAAAUGUCUUUUGAUAUUAGUUUUAGUACUUUGCCUUUUGGUUUCUGGUUGUUUGUAGCAGAUUUUGACCAGAAACUGCAUUGCAGUUUCUGGUUCCAUAAUUUUAUUUCAGAGUGCUUUUUGCUGGUUUAUGGGAAUGUUAUAACUGCUAAUGAAGUUUAAUGUCUUUUGAUAUUAGUUUUAGUACUUUGCCUUUUGGUUUCUGGUUGUUUGUAGCAGAUUUUGACCAGAAACUGCAUUGCAGUUUCUGGUUCCAUAAUUCAAUUUCAGAGUGCUUUUUGCUGGUUUAUGGGAAUUUUAUAACUGCUCAUGAAGUUAAAUGUGUUUUGAUAUUAGUUUCAGUACUGUUUUUGCCUUUUGGUUUCUUUUCACAUCAAAUUUUGAGCAGCAGUUUCUGGUUGUUUGUUGCAGAUUUUGACCACAAACUGCAGUGCAUAUCACAAAAUGGAACAAGAAAUGUCACCACAAAAGAAUGAAGCUGAAAACCAACCAAAGCGCAGAAUCAAAAUGAUGGCUCAAAAGCGUAAGCCAAAGCCAAAGCCAAACUAUGAUCGGAAAGCAAAGCACCCGGACUAUGUCCAAUUUCGGUGCAAUGCCUAUGCUUUCAACAGCAUCAUUAGAGACAUAAAGGACAAGCUCAAUGAAAGGCAGAAGAAGCUUCUCAAGAAAACCCCUUUCUGGAACUUGAUCGAGCUGUUUUACCGCCAGAGAAUUGACAUGAAUAACAUGAAUAAGUAGGACCUUGACUUAGUACAGCUGCUCAAGAAAUUUGAUCCGGAUACAAAGUCCUUCAAAUUUGGAACCAAAUCAUUCCAAAUCACAGGCAAUGCAGUGAUACAAAGUCCUUCAUGAGCAGUUGUAACAUUGCCUUUAUGAAACCAGAAACUGCAAUGCAGUUUCUGCCAACACUCCAACAAACAGAUGCAGUUUAUAACAGAGGAGGCAAAACAAAUCGAAUAGAAACCAAAAGGAAACCACGUUAAAAGUACUAAAACUAAUAUCAAAACACAUUUAACUCCAUGAGCAGUUGUAACAUUGCAUUUAUGAAACCAGAAACUGCAAUGCAGUUUCUGCCAACACUCCAACAAACAGAUGCAGUUUAUGACAGAGGAGGCAAAACAAAUCGAAUAGAAACCAAAAGGAAACCACGUUAAAAGUACUAAAACUAAUAUCAAAACACAUUUAACUCCAUGAGCAGUUGUAACAUUGCCUUUAUGAAACCAGAAACUGCAAUGCAGUUUCUGCCAACACUCCAACAAACAGAUGCAGUUUAUAACAGAGGAGGCAAAACAAAUCGAGCCACAAAACUGAGCCACAAGAUCGCGCCACAAAAUCGAGCCACAAAACUGAGCUCGAAAAACCCAAAACUUAAGCGAUUCGGCAUGAUAAUCGAACGAAAGAUUAUCCAAUUAGAAGGAAACAAACAAACUGCACUGAAUUUUGGAACAGGAUGCGGCAUGAUAAUCGAACGAAAAAGAUUCGGCAUGAUAAUCGAACAAAAAAACUGACAGAUUCGGCAUGAUAAUCGAACGAAAAAGGAAGAAAUAAAAGGAAAACCAACCAGAAAAUUGAGCUCCAACGGCGAGAACGAAAACAAAAACGAACGAAAUCUGCCUGCAAAACGAACGAAAUCUGCCUGCCAAACGAACGAAAUUUGAAUGCCAAACGAACGAAAUCUGCUGCCAAACAAACGAGGACGAAAACGAAACAGAGAAGAACUCGUGCCUUGUUUAAACAUUCAGUGGCAAAAGCGUCAUUUAUUUUGUAGGUUUACAAAUGGGCCAGGCUUUUUAAGAAGAAGGGUAGAAUUGUCUUAUCAGUUGUUAUUUUUUACCUGGCCCAACGAAUCUGGGCCUCUCUUUGGGCUAAUCCAAAAUAGUAGUUUUUUCCUAGGUAUUAAAACUAAAACCAAAAUAUCCAAUAUCUUACAAACUAAAUAAUAAAGUUAAUUAUGUCUAAAACCUAAUUUUUCUUAUAAUUUAUAUGGGAAACUACCGAAGAUUACUUAUGAACUUUAUUAGGUUUUGAUUAAUGGGCAAAUUGUCAGAUUUGAUUAUUUCAUAUGUUUUCUUGUAAAACCAUCGUAUCUUGUACUUGGAAUGGAGGAAGAAAAUCUUGUGUAUGGUGACAGAAAUUGCAAGAUAUUGAAGUAAAAUUGAAUUGAGUAACUAAGGCACUUGUAUUCUUUAAACAGGUUGCAGUGUGAAAUUUGAAGAACAUGCCAUAUCUAUGAGCUGCUGGUUCUUCUUGUAUGGUUUGGUUUGCUUUUUGAAGAUGAAAGGAGGAGGUGAUGGAAGAGAGCAACAAUAUGUUUUAACGCUUCGUAAUGUUUGUUUUGGGUGUGAAGCAAUUUUGUUUUAUUUAAAAAUAAUCUAUGUUUGAUGUGUCAAUUUUUUGGCUUUUGGAUGAAAUUUAAAUGAGAUCGCAUUCUUAUAAGAAAAGUCAAGUAGAUCAUGACAGAGAAAAAUCAAAGAAGAUGAUUCGGAUCUAUUUUAAUGAUAUUAUUAAGUGGACCCAAAGGCAUUAUAAAGUCCAAAUAAUCACUAAUGCAGAAAAUGUUUCCUGACUUGAACAGUGGGUUGGAGAGAUUCCCAAAGCUUAAGUAGUUGUCUAUUGUGAAACAAGUGUUUAGUUCUCAUUGAACUUUCUUUGUUUUAUUUAAUUUUUUUUUAGUCCUUUUUUUCUUUUGGAAUAGGAUGAGAACCACAUAACAUGAGUAUAUGGUCAAAGUCUUUCUCUACGUUGUAUGCACUCUUGCUUCACUAGGCCCAUUGGAAAUUUCAUGUCUUCUUCACCUGAAAGGAAAUUUCCUUAGGGUGGCUUAGAAUGUGGACAAUGAUAAAUAGACAAGUACCUCUCAUAACAGCUGUUUUUGAAUAUUAAUCAACAGUUUUGAGCACAUACUUGGUAUCUUCUACACCUUUGAGUUUAGUAGAGAGAAUGGUCUAUUUGCUUGACAACAAUAUAUAGACUAUUUGAUUGUCAUGAUAGGAGUGGACCAAGAAAAUUUAUUUAGAGAUAUAUAUAAACUCAAGGACUUUAUGCUUAACUCGGUUUGUGCGCUAAUAAGAAAAAAAUUAGUCAAAUUGAAAAUUAUUUAUUCAUUUAAUUUUUUUCAUGAAUGGUUUUUUUUAUUAUUUAUAGGAAGUAUUGUGUUCGUGUAUUUUUUUUUUUUUUAUCACACUUAGAUGCCUGAAUAUUUUCAGAUUUGGUAACUUUUUGUAAGGGUGAUCUUUAAUUCAUUACCUAAACAAUGAACGAUUUGGAUCAUUUUAAUGAUAUUGUUAAGUUGACCCAAACGAUUGGUUAACAUUGUAUUAACUGUUGUUUUUAUCUAGCAAAUACAUAUUAUGUGGUGUUUAUAUAGGAAGUGGAGGAUUCGAUGGUGACACCCUAGCUAUUCUUUUUUUUUUUGAGAACCUCGACAGAACGAGGGAAACUUUAUUGAUAAAGCGAAGAAUGACAACGGGGGGGACAAUGUGCCUGACCCCGACUUAACACAUCACACAAUAGGGCGUCCUGAAUAAGAUCAGGGGGCACCUCAAACCAAAUAAAGUUGUCCACAUUAUGCAAACCAAAACGAGCAAGUCGGUGUGCAACACCAUUUGCUUCCCUAGGAGUAAAUUGAAAAAGAGAGCUAGGAAACUGUUGCUGAAGAUGCUUUACAUCUUCAACAAUGGUACCAAUGUUUGAAUAAUCCUGUCCUGCUCGCUUUAUUGCUGAAACCACCACAGCAGAGUCCCCUUCGAAGAUGGGAGAUGCAGUCCCAAGUGAGAGAGCAAGAGCCACCCCUUCACGAGCUGCAAGAAUUUCUGCAUGUUCAGCCGACAGCACUUCCCCAACUGAUUUUGCCACUGCCGCCACAAAACCUCCAUCCGCGUCUCUGGCAACAACCCCAACAGCCCCUCUACCCGAAGUAGGAUCAAAUGCUCCAUCAAAGUUAAAUUUGAGGCGGCCUGACGGUGGUGCUGCCCAACGCACUGGAUCCCGCACCCGAUCAGUUACUUUGGACGGAGUAUCAUUUGCCGUAAUAAAUUCAUGCACAUACUGUUGAGCAAAACCCACGACCUCAUGUGGAGAUCGCUGGACUCCCUGCCACAACAGUGCAUUUCGAUUUCCCCAUAUAGCCCAUAACAAAGUGAUAAUAUGAUCCCGUUGCGCUUUACUUGUACCCUCCAGCAUUUCUCUCAGCCAGUCCUUCAUUGUAUGACAAUGUACCUGAUGAGCAUGCCUUGUCAACAAAGAAAUAUUCCAAGUAGCCACUGCAAAAGGACACAUAGCAAGAACAUGCAGAGCACUUUCAGUGAUGUCACCACAAAACAUGCACAUGUCUUGCAACUAAAGAAUGAAUUCUUAUUAUAUGUCAUCUUUUCUAAUUUAAAUCAAAAUUAAAAAGUAACAGGUUUUAUCAUAUAUAUAAAUACUAACAAUUUUAUUCACCUUGGUAUAUGCUCAACCACAAUAUGGCUUCAUAUCCUUAAAUUAAUUAUAGCACAUGUAUCAAUGGGUCACCCUUUUUUUCUUUUCUAUAAUUCAAAAAUACACAAUUAUAUAUGAAUAUAUAGAAAAAGAGACGCUAUCUUAGUCUCAAUUAUAACAUGUACUGCAAGUUUGAUGAAUUAUUGCUAUCUAAUUAAUACUUUACAUUGAAAUUUAUUGAACUCAAACCAGUUUCUUAAUUAACUAAUACUAUCUGCUUAACACACGACAAUACUAUAACAAUCUUAUUAUAAGAACACUCGAAGACUCAUCUCAUAAGGGAGUGGUGUAAUCCAUGCAGACAUAGAUGCUUCUUCAGCGUAGAGGUCUGUUCAUAUUAUAUUCUCCUUCAACUCGAAGUGCUGGCAAAAGGAUUAGGAGGCAUGGCUAGAUUCUCACCUUCUCUUUCCAACAUUUGAACUACAACUUUCAUUGAAGGACGAUCUAUUGGAUGCCAUUGGAUGCACCACAGACCCACAAUUGCGAGUUUCCACUACUACAAAAAAGCAAAAAGACGACGGUAAAUCACCGUCGUGUAUUUGGUUUUUCAAUGGUCGUGGAAUCCACCGUCAUCUUUUCCCUCAUAAACCACGACGCUAAAUAACCGUCGUUGUUAAACAAUACAACGUCAUCAAAAAAUACAAAACGACGUCUUUGUACUGCAAAAAGAUCUAAAAAAAGCAAUCGAGGAUGAUAAUAGACGACCAAUUCUCUAAAAAGACCGUCGUUAAAAAGGGAAAAUAUGACACAUAUUAAGAGAACAAGGCCGCAAGAUAGACAUACAACGACGACAAUAAAAAUACGCCGACGUUAAAUAUAAUUUUCACGACAAUAAAAAAUAUGACGUCUUUAAAUACAUUAGAAGACGACGUUAUUGAUACCUACUACGUCGCACAUAUAAACACAACCGUCGUACAAUUAAUUUUCCACUUCGAUUUUUUGAUAAAAGAUGACGUGGAAAUAGUUGUCAGUGUCAUUAUUUACGACGUAUGUGUUUCUAUAGUAGACGUUGAAAAACUAAACAACGUCAGUUACAAAUAUAUGAGAGUCGUAUUAAAAAAUUUAUACGUCCUAUUUUCAGAAACAAACAACGACCAUAAAUAUUAGACGUUGUUAAAUACAACAACGUCGGAAAACAAUAAAAACAGACGUGUUUAGUCUGCUAAAGUUCUACAACGUCUCUUAUUUACAAAAAACCGUCGUGAAAUAAAUUUUCCACUUCGAUUUUAUCUAAAAAAGAUGACGUGGAAAUAGUUGUCAGUGUCAUUAUUUACGACGUAUACAUUUAUAUAGUCGACGUUGUAUUUAUAUGUAUUCAUUACUCACGACGCACUUAAUAAUAUAGACGACGUUGAACGUCUAAACAACGUCGGUUCCAAAUAAAUGAGAGCCGUAUUACAGAACAUAUAGACGGCGUAGAUUAUGAUGGGAGCCGUAUUACAAAUAACGUCGUUUAAUUGUUAUUAGACGGCGGUUAUAAUGAAUUUCCGUCGGAAUUAAUUUCGUUCCUCUUCGUUUAUAAAAGAACUUGCGACGUGGAAAAUGUAUGAUGACGUCGUAUUUUUUAACGUUCAGAUUACAUAUCUCGUUUUUUAGACGUCGGUAUUAUGGGAUUGGAGUCGUGUUAUUUUGAAUUACAUGGCGGUUCUUAAUCCUUCCCCGACGUGAUAUCCUGAAUAAUUGCUUCACAAUUGCGUCGUGGUUCUUCAUUGUUACGUUGCUUUAAGACGUCGGUAAAUAUGCUGAAUAACUGGUUCACAAUAACGUCGUGUUUUAUUUGAACGUAGAAAGUGAAGAAAGCACAUUACAAUAUAUUACAAAAUUAAUGUCAUACACUGCCAAUUACAUAAGCAUCAUUCAAUCCAUAUAUCUUCACACCCAUCUCGAAUAUUUUGACCGCCUAACUCACCCACCAGUUCAUCAAAUGUGUCAACAUUUGGCAUCCCUCUAGUAAAUGGCUCACACUCAAUUAUCACAUCACCUAAGACUUCAUCACCAAUAACAUCAUUAUAUUCUCUAUUAGGCAUUGAUAACACUACCGACCAACCACGAUGCAUCGGGUCGUCAACAAAAAAUAUUUGUUUGACUUGAGAAGCCAAAACAAAUUGGUCAUUCCUAUGUCCAAUUUUACUCAAAUCUACAAGGGUAAAUCCAAGUUCGUCGACUACAAGACCAGAACUAUCUAUCCAAUCACACCUAAAGACUGGGAUUGUAAACUUUUGGUAGUCAAGGUCCCAAAUUUCUUGAAUGACACCAUAGAAACCCAUAUUUGAGAGAAUUGGGUUUUUAUCCUUGGCACUAGCAACUUGCAUGGUAUGUGCAAGUAAAUAAACUCCACUAUUUUGAGUUGUCCGCACAUCAUCUUGUGCCUUGAUAUUGAAUUUAAUACCUUUAAUAAGAUAGCUCCUAUAUAAUGGCACUGACAUGUUUGGACCAGCUGCUAGCCACCUUAAAUUUUCUGAUACGCCAUGAUUGUCUUCCUCAACUUCACUUUGAACCUGCAAAUUAAUCAUAUCUUAAUUCAUCCUAACAUAUAAAUAAGAAGAAAAUUAAAAGAGAAAUACGUUAUUCAACAACAUAUACCUUGAAGCGUAGCCAUUGAAUGAAAGUGCUAUUGUGCUUAUCCUGCAGCCACUUUGUUCUCUUUCUAAAUUUUGGAUAAGCAGUCUUGAUGUGGAUCAUAUGUUGCCUACAUGACACGAAAAAUUCAAGCAUUACGGUCCCAAAUAUAUAAGAUAAACAUAAGAAAUAAUUUUAAAUGGAAACUUAAAGAAUAAAACUCAUACGUACUCGAUAUAAGGUAGGACUUCCUCCGUAUUCUCCAAGACAUAUAGAUGUGCUUGAUUCAACAGGUCCUGAUCAACUACGCUCACUGUGCAACCUGAUAAUGGCUUUGAAACUCCCAUCUUUUGGCUUGAAGGCACUCCAACUGUACUAACAUCAGAUAAAUGCUGAGUACAAAACUCUACCGCUUCUUCAGCUAUAUACCGCUCAGCAAUGCAACCUUCGGGACGAGUACGAUUCUGAACAUACCCCUUCAGCACUUUCAUAUAUCUUUCAAACGGAUACAUCCACCUAAAAUAUACUGGCCCACAUAGACGAACUUCUCUGACAAGAUGUACUACUAGAUGAACCAUGAUAUCAAAGAAUGAAGGGGGAAAGUACUUCUCAAGCAAACACAGAGUAACUACUACAUCUUCUUCCAACUUAUCUAGCUUGGAAACAUCAACAGUCUUUGCACAUAUAGCAUUGAAGAAGAAGCACAAACGAGUUAUUGCAUACCUUGCAGGCUUCUCCAAAACAGAACGAAUUGCCACAGGGAGCAAUUGUUGCAUUAAGGUAUGACAAUCAUGUGAUUUAAGGCCAAGAAGUCUUGAAUCUUGUACAGAUACAAGAUUUUUAAUAUUUGAAGAAUAACCUUCAGGGACCUUCAUACCAUAGAAAGAAUUGCAAACCUCUCUCUUCUCUGCUCUUGACAAAUUCCAAGGCCCAGGAGGCAAACGAGUACGUCUUUCUCCAUACUCGGGUUGCAAAUCAGUUUUGACCCCCAUGUUCAAUAAAUCUAAUCGAGCAGCAAUCCCAUCUUUAUUUUUUCCAGGGAUCUCCAGCAAUGUACCAAUGAUACUAUCGCAAACAUUCUUCUCAAUGUGCAUAACAUCUAGGGCAUGCCUCACAGGAAGGUAUUUCCAAUACUCGAGAUCAAAGAAUAUUGAUUUCUUCUUCCAACAAACUCUGUCACCAUUUUCAACCAUAUGCAGCACUUCUUCUCCGGUUAAUGGCUCGGGAGGUAUGCCAUAUUCAGGUUUCCCAUUAAAAGCUGCACGUUGCCUCCUAUAUGGAUGAUUGAUUGGUAACCAUUUUCUAUGCCCAAUGUAACAAAUUUUGUGGCCAUUUUUCAACCUGUGACUAGGUGUAUCAUCGCCGCAUAUUGGACAAGCUUUAUAUCCUUUAACAACACAACCAGAUAAGUUUCCAUAGGCGGGGAAAUCAUUAAUUGUCCACAUUAAUGCAGCUCUGAGUGUAAAGUAUUCUCCAUUAUGUGCAUCAUACACUCCUCUAAUCCCAACCCACAAGGAUUUUAAAUCAUCAAUCAAAGGCUCCAAGUAGACGUCUAUAUCAUUUCCGGGUUGUUUAGGACCGGAAAUCAAUAAGGUUAACAUCAUGAACUUUCGUUUCAUGCACAGCCAUGGAGGGAGAUUAUAUGUAACUAAGAUAACCGGCCAACAACUAUAUCUGCUACUUAGAGAACUGUGGGGAUUGAAUCCAUCAGAUGAAAGAGCCAAUCUCAAGUUUCUCGGCUCAUUACCAAACUCAGGCCAUUUAUCAUCAAGAAGUUUCCAAGACGGGGAAUCCGCCGGAUGAGACAUCUGACCGUCAAUUGAUUUUCUAGCAACAUGCCACCAAGUCAAACUCUUAGCUGUCUCAUGUGAUUGAAACAUCCUUUUAAACCUUGGAAUUGGGGGAAAAUACCACACCACCUUCGCUGGCACACCCUCUUUCAAGAUUGCAUCUUUGCCUUCCUUCCACCUUGAGAUACCACAAGUAGGACAAUUAGUUGAAUCCUCAUACUCCUUCCUAUACAAGAUGCAAUCAUUGGGGCAUGCGUGCAUUUUCUCAUAACUCAGCCCCAAUGCACACAAAGUCUUUUUAGCCUCAUACAUGGAGGUUGGUAUUGUAUUUCCUUCUAGAAGCAAAUCGCCUUGAAGUAUCAAUAAUUCUGUAAAACAGACAUCACUCAUCCCAUGUUUUGCCUUCAAAUUAUACAACUUCACUAAUGCCGAUAACUUCGUGUACUUUCUACAACCAGGGUACACUGGUUGAUCUCCAUCCCCAAUCACAUUGGCAAACUCAUACGGAUCCGAACCAAAAUCACCAAAAUCAUUAUCAUCCAUAUCAAUUUCUUCAGACACAAAACUGUACCUACUAUGGCCAUCAUCUUCUUCAACAUUUCUGCUAGCAUUAGUAGUUGCUUCCCAAGGUUCUCCGUGAAAUGUCCAAUUCUUAUAGCUUUGGUCAAUUCCAUUAAAGUAUAAGUGAUCCCUUAUAAUUCCAACCCCAAACAACUUCAAAUUAACACAUUUAACACAUGGACAACGGAUAUGUGUUGUAGUUAGAAGAUUUUCUACAGCAAAGUUCAAAAAUGCUUCCACCCCAAACUCAUAUGCCUUCGAUCUUCUAUCCGAGUGCAUCCAUGACUUAUCCAUCUCCGACACUAUAACCUAUUAUCUAUAAUAAAGUGAAAAUACAGGCAAUGACCAUCACUAUAGCAGAUUAUACAAUGAUCUAAUCGCAAGUAAUAAACAACAGAGACGACGGGUUUUAAUCAAAAACAGACGUAUUUGGCAUAUAUAGACGACGGAUUUUCAACAGACGUCGUCUAUUAUACGUAAUACAAACGACGGUUUAUGAAAAAACCGUCGUGUAUAAGUAAUACAACGACGGUAGUUUAAAAACACCGUCGUGUAAUCGUCGUCGUACGCCUUAAAAUUCGUCGUGUCUCAGUUUAUUUUCAAGAACACAAAACCCAUUAAGAACACAACAUAUAUAUGAAACCAAGCAAGAAACCAACAUAUACAUGAAACCAAGCAUGAAAACAAUAAAUCCAUUCCCAAUUCAACAUAACAUAGGGUGAUUAAAAGAUACGACAAAAUUAAAUCCAUUCCCAAUUCAACAUAACAGAUAAUGUAAUCCAUGAACCCAUUAAACAGAAAAUCCAUGAACCCAUACCUAUAAGCAUUGGUGCACUUUGCACCUUCUCCAGAGCGGAAAAUGACAAGAUCAAAUAAAGGUGUCCUUUUGCUGGAAAUCAUUUGGAAGUUGGUGAUGUGUCUUUUUGUGUUGAUUUCCAGCAAAAGUACACCUUUAUUUGAUCUUGUCAUGAACCCAUUAAACAGAAAAUCCAUGAACCCAUACCUAUAAGCACAUUAUUAACAGAUCGCAAAGCAUAUACCUAAAACCCUUUAACAAAACAACCUAAUAUCAUUCAAUGAAUUUACAAGGGGAAGAUAGGGUUUGUACUUACAGGUUGGACGAGCUCACAGAUUCGACGAGCCUGGAGAGUGCAACUUUUAAUUAGAGCAGAAGUGAGAGAGCGAAAUGUUAUGUCGCGUGAAAUCUGAAAUUUUAGGUUUCAGGGAUCAAAGUAUAAGACUAAGAGCCAAAUCUAAAAAAAUUUAGGUCGCGCGAAAAUUUUUAGAGCGCGCGCGUUAUAAAACGUCGAAAGAAAAACCAAGGCGAAAGUUCUACAAGUACCGACGUAAAUUGAAUAUUCCACGACGGAAACUUCAUUUUUCGGAUUAAGAACGUAAGGCCGUUCAUUUUUCGGAUUAAUUUUAAAUUUAUUUUGAAUUUUUUAUAUAACGACGACUGAAAAACCACGUCGGUGUUAAGAAAUUAAAGACGUUGUAAAUUAUAUAAACCGACUUACAUAUUAAAAUAACGUCGUUUAAAGCGUAAACCAUGUCGUAUGUUUUACUGUACGACGUAAAAUAUGUAUUCCACGACCCAACCACCGUCGUUAAAAAUUAAUACACUAAACCCAUAAAAUUAAAUUAUACAAUUUAAAAAAUUAAGUUUAUAAAAGGUUUUAUGGUUUUAAAGCCUAACAUAUAACAUAGACUACCCAAAAAUUAUACUUUAAAAAUAAACCCCAAUAAAUAACAACACUAAUCUCUAAACCCUAGACUCUAAACCCUAAACCAUUAAACUAGAAGUGAUUUUAUGACUCAUCAAAACAAUUUUGUUUUGGAUGGUCAUUUUAAAUUUUUGUUAUUCAAAAUGAAUUUUUUCAAGGUUUAUGUGGAAGAAAAUAUAUCAAUGACUUCAUAGGAGUUGACUUUUCAAUUUUCUGAUUUAUUUUAAAUUUAUUUUGAAUAUUUUGAUAUAAAAAUAAUAAAAUAUUCUUACCACAACAACCAACCACGUCGGUGUUAAUAAAUUGUAGACGUUGUAAAUUGUAAUAGACUACUAAGUCGUUAAAAUGACGUCGUUAAAAUGAGAAACCAUGGCGGCUAUUUAACUAUACGACGUAAAAUAUAUAUAUCAACGACUUAACCGCUGUCGUUACAUAAACGUCGUCGAUGAUACCCUGAACCCUUAAGAAAUUGAAGAUGUUGUAAACCAUAAACGACUCAAUUGUUCAAAGAACGUCGUCUAACUAUAUUUUUACGUCGUAAUUGUUUAAAACACGAAACAACAAAAUACGACGGUUAUUGACUUUAUUAGGUCGUUGGAAAAGUAUUACACGUCGGUUAAGCAAUUUGUAUGUUUGUUUUUUUUUAAUUUAAGAAAACCUCAACAAAUUUUUACAUUACAUAUUAUAGAGAAAAUUGGUACAUUAUACAUAAAUAUCAAGUGUUCAAUAAUUGCCCUGUUUAAUAAUUUGGAAAACAAACUCUGCCCAUUCAUUCCGGACUUCAUCAAUGGCUUCUUGGGGGUAUGAAGCUUCCUGGUUUCCCUUGGCAUACUGCAUAAACAAUGACUAUUAGGGUUUAUAAAUAAAAAGAAAUUCAAUCACAGACGACGAUAUUUUUCAUAACCGACGUAGUAUAUCCAUUCAACGACGUUAAUUUUACACGACCGUCGUUGAUAAUACAAAAAACGACGUGAAAUGUAUGAAGGUAAUUUCUUCUUACCUUAUUCUCAAACCCCAAGGAAGGAUCCAUGAUGAUGUCCCUCAUGAAGCGCAUUACAUAAUACCCGCAUUCGACAUUGCUGGGUUGCUUUGGUGUGCCUGAGAGAGUUUUCCAAAUUACAUUUUUACGUCCUGCUCGGGCUAUGUGGGUAUUAUAUAUUUUUAAAGCACUGUUCACGAUGUUUUUGGCCUCUUCAUCGACCACACGAUUUCCUGGCAGAGGAUCCAGAAAAUAGACGGUUUCUCUCUUUGCUCUUACAAUCAGCAAAAUCCAAUGACGGCUGCACAAAAUUAAUAUAAAAACGACGGUUAUUUACAAAAACGACGUAUUAUAGUAUUUCACACGACGAAGUAAAGUAGCUAACGACGACAUUAUAUAUUUAUCACGACGAUAAAUAAAUACCGACGUGGUUAGUAGUUUCAAACGACUAAAUAAAAUAAAACACCGACGUGGUUAGUUUAUAAGCUGUCAUUUAUUGAAAAUCAUAAAAACAAAAUCCUAAGGAGACUAACCCUGGAUUGUAAGGCAUCAUGAAAAUCUGUUCACCGUCUGUCUUCUGAAGUCGAGCUGCUACGAGUCGUGAUCUUUCAGUUAUUGUGCCAGAGUUGGCACUAACUGUAGCAGGGUCGAUAAAGCCAACCAUACUGCACAUAUUGGCUUUUUUCAAAACAUCGUGUAAGUACCUAAACAAAUAAAAUAAUAUAAACAAGUCAGCACACAAAACACGACGGUUAUGUAUAAAAAAACGACGUAUUAUAAUAUUUCACACGACGUACUGAAAUAGAUGAGGACGUUAUAAUAUAUUUAUCACGACGGUUGUUAGUUAAGACGACGUGGUUAGUUAGUUAAGACGACGCAAUAUAUAAACCAACGAGUUAUUAUUUUAGAAGUACAAACCUCAUAUAUACAGCCAAUACAGUAGCUCCAAUUUCUUCCAUGCCUGCAAAUUGUGUAAUAUCUUCAGGCAGGAGGAAGGUAUCGCGCUCACCACCAAACACCUCCUUAUCAAUUGUAAAUUGGAGUGUCUUAUCCUCAGGCAGGAGUGUCGUUUCCACAAAACGACAAAGGGUUUUUAAAGAAGAUGGCGCCUCCAUAUUUGAAUAAGCACCAACUUCAAUAACCUGUUUAAAGAAAUAAAAAAAAUGACGUGGUAAUUCAAUAAAGACGACGGUUUAAGUAAUAAAACGUCGUCUUAAAAGUAUUUAAACGACGGUGAAAAAACUGUCGUGGUAAUUCAAUAAAGACGACGGUUUUAUGAAUAAAGCGUCGUCUGAAACCAUUUAAACGACGGUGCAAAAACCGUCGUUUAAAUAUUUUAUUACGUCUUAAAAAAAUUCCGCCGUCUAAGUUUUAAACAAACGACGGAUUAAAUAAAAAUAUCGACGUCUGAAAUUUUGAAAAACAAAUAAAAAAGGCAAAGUUAUGUGAACAUACCUUGUCGUCAUGCUUUUCUUCAUCUUCUUUCUCCUUUUCUUCUUCCUUCUCUUCAUCUCUUUUUUCUUCUUCCUUCUCUUCAUCUGGCUGAUGUUUCCCCAUUUUGGCAGUAUCAUCCUCCAAAUGUAGGGAUCUCACAUCACCUCCAGAGCAGCUAGCUUUGUCAGACAUUGGAUUUUUGGGGCUUUGGCUAAUUCUUGGUUUAAGCAUGCUUGGAUCAAAAUUGGGAAUUAAUUGGGAAAGCUGACUCAGGAAAUGCUCCCUCUCAGCCUCUACCAAUUGUUUUGUCCUAGCCUCCAUCCUUAAGGCCUCUUCCCUUGCCUUAGCCUCCAUCUUUUUAGUCUCUUCUUGAAGGAGAACUCUUAAACUGUCCUUCAAACGGUCGUCAAAGCUCACCCUCUGUGGUUUGGGCAAAUUGAAAUAUUGCCUUGGGGAAACACCAGCACCAACUCCCCUCAGUCUGCCUGGAUGCUCGGGGCCCAAAGCCAUGGUCAGCACAUCAUUGCUGCCAUCUACUCUGACUUUGCCUUCCGAGACUUGUUUCUGCAAUUCAUCCUAAAAAAAGAUAAACAAAAAAACACACGACGGUUAUUUAUGUACAAACGACGUAUUAUAUAAUUUCACACGACUCAAUAACGUAUAAACCGACGUUAUUAUAACUUAUCACGACGGUAGUUAUACCGACGUGGUUAUUUAUUUAAAACGACGAAAUGAAUAAACAACCGACGUCUUAUGCUAUAAUUAAAGAUAACAGAGUAGUGAUUCCUAUUUAGACCGUUAACGACGUUUUUAAAAAAUUUUCGACGUGGUAAUAUCAUUCACACGACGCGAAAAUGAACCACCGACGUCUUAUGCUGUAAUUACAGAAAACAUAGUAGUGAUUCCUAUUUAGACCUUUAACGACGUUUUUAAAAACUUUUCGACGUGGUAAUAUCAUUCACACGACGAAAAAUAUAACAUACGACGUAAUAAGAAUAAUUCACAGUUUAAUAAAAAUUUAAAACAGAGUGAUAGUAGGCUUACAAUUAAUUUUGCUUUCUCUGCCACCUUUGGAUCAGGGAUGUUACCAUGUUUGUCCUGUCUAGCUCUCUUCCAUAAGGUAGAUCGAUCAAUUUCUACCCCAGGCAUGGUUUCCUCCAAUUGAUCCUCCAAUCCAGCAUAUCCUUUUUGAGACAAUCGAUGAUUGUACUCGAGUUUCUCCCUAAUCUGUGCAUGUUGAGAAUGCACAGACUCAAAAUCUUUGGAUAGCCUUGAAGCUACAAAGGCAUCCCAUUGUGCUUUCUCUAUGAAUUUAUAUGUUUCAGGGGGUUGGCUUAAUUUCUCCCUGUCAUUGGUGUAUGGAAGGAUAUAAUGCCUCGUUAGUGUAGACUUGAAAUCCUUCCAUUUCUUGGAAGCAGAAGCUAAAACAGAGGUCUUGCCCCCUUGGCCUACGACAAAAGCCAUGUCAACUGCUUCCCAAAUCUGCUCCUUUAUAUCCUUGGGGAUUUGGGACCAUUUCUUGUCCACAAGUGGGAUCCUGGAGCGUGCCAACACACCAAUAUACGACUGCAUCUCAAUAUGUGCUUGGCCAACACCUUUCCCCCUUUUAUUGUACUCAACAAUUGGCCUCAGUUUCUGAAGCUUUCUCUUCACAACACGAGGCAUUGUGCUCAUACCUCGACCAGUCUUUGAAUCAUCUGAGAUUGUUGUCUGGCUGGUUUGUUCUGUCUCAGCAGAUGAUGAAGCAAACUUCAUCUUCUUCGAAGACUUCAUCUCCUUCGAAGACUUAUCUUGAGGAGCUACCAUUCCAAGCUUCUUGGAGCCAGAAUCCUUAGUUUGUUGUUGAGAAACCAUUUUAACAGACAAAACUGCAAGUGAAAAUAUUUCAGGAAAACAUUAAGAACACAAACGACGGUAUUAAAAAAAUACGACGUAUGAUAUGAUUUUAGACGACGCAAUGAAAUAAUCUCAGACGUAAUAAAUGUUUAAAACCAUUAUUUAUAUAACGUCGUGGUAUAUAUGUUCACACGACGUCAAUAGUAAUACACCGUCGUGGUAAACUAUUAUUUAUAUUUUAUCGUCUAUAUUAGAUACCAACCCUAGUUUCUUUUUCUUUAUAUUUUAUCAAAUAAGGGAAAAACAAAAACCAUUGUUCAGCGAAAUCAAACCUGCAAUUAAACAAGCAUAUAAAAAAAGACUAUUAUUUUAAAAACAACUUUGUCAAUUUUCAGACGACGCUAGAACAACUGACGAACCGUCGUGGUCUACCGUCGUCUUAUUUAGUUGAUGUAGUUGUCUUCAAAGUUGGAAACUUUCUCUCUUUGUCUGUAUAUUUUAUCAAACUUGGAAAGAAGUAAAAUGAUUUUGGCCAGAAAAAAGGUAAAAAGAUUUUUCAAACAAAAAACGUAUGAGCAUGCAAAACAGUAACCAAAAUAGUGAAAAUGAAAGCUUACCUUUUGCGUGCAAUGAAAGCAAGAGGAAGAUGAUCGAUGUUUAAGUUCAGAGACGACGAAGAAGACGAGAGGAAGACGAUGAGAAACUCUGACAAUGCUCUGACAAGGAAAAAAGACGAAAAGGUUUCUCUAGGAGAUUGAAAUUUUUAAUCGGGUUUGGAAACAGUGCAUGUGUAAGUCGAAAAGUUGCUUACAUAUAAAACCAUUUCAAAAAAAUAAUACGGCGGUUACAUUUAACUACGUCGUUUUUAACUAAAACGACGCAAUAUUUUUCAUUCGACGUGGAAUCAUUUCAUUUAACGUCGUUAGGUUUAAUAUAACCGACGUGGAUUUUAAUUUUUAAAUUAUGAAUAGAAUUUUUUUUCCCGUGACCUUUCAGUUUAUUUUUCAAUUACAGUGCGUUAUAAAUAGAGUUUUUUUUCCGGAGGAAAUUUAAAACGAAGGAAAUUAAUAUUCUGCAAUAUGUAAAGUUUCUUUUUUGGAUGACAGAUUUAAAUAAAAUAAGAAUAUAAAAACAAUAAAUGUGUAAGUCAAGUAGACGAAAAGUUGCUUACAUAUAAAACCAUUUCAAAAAAAUAAUAUGGCGGUUACAUAUAACUACGACGUAUAAAUUACAAAAUACGACGGUACAUUUAACUUCGGACGUGGUAAAUAAAUACGACAGUAGUUUGUAGGUACCGUCGUAGUAAACUCAAAAAUUAAAGUACAUAAGUAAUAACUCGCGUCAUGGUAUAUUAUUUAACACGUCGUUUUUAUUAAUUUACCGACGUGGAUUUCUGUAAUAUACGUCGAUCAUACCGACGUUGAUUUUACAAUUUAAACGGCGGUUUGUUUGUAAGGACCGCCGUUGGUUUUAAAAAUUUAUUCUAUAAAUUUGUCGCUUUCAUUCAUUUUCGGUUUACAUUUAAGGUUCCAAGUUCUUCCUCUCUCAGUCUCUCAUGUCUCAAAGAUAAUAAUUUGGAUGUUUUCUCAAAGAGAAAUUGAGCUUACUCGCAUCAAAUAUAUGUCCACAAGAAGAAGCUUGUCAACUAGCCUUCUCACUUCCUUGAUCAAGCCUGAUAGGACACUUAGUGCUUCUGAAUACUCCUUGCUUUCCAUCAAAAGAGAUGCAAGCCUGGCCUCCACUCGCUGUCGAAGGAAAGUUCGCUUCUCAGGGAAAUCUGAAGAUCAGAUGUGCCUGAUCCUCUGCUUGAUUUUCUUGCCUAAGAAGAUCCGUCGGAUUUAUUGUGAUAGCCUCUUCCUUUAUCCGUAGAGCUUCAGAAGAAGAAGAUGGGUUUCAAGAAUGCGAUAAAGAAUAGAAAUGGCUUCAGAUGGCCUCUAAAGCAUGAGCAAUUGAAUCAGUAGUUUCUGGGAGAUAUGAUGAAGACAUUGUCAAUGCUUUGAACUACACAAGUCCUGCAGAAAGAUAUGUUAAAGAAACUGAAACAACGGCGGUUUUCUGUUCUACCGUCGUCUUUUCUCGUCGUCUAUAUUAAGUUACGAUGGCGGUAGAUUUAUAAUUACCGACGUAGAUUAUUUUGUUAAACGUCGUUAAGUGUACUACAACCGACGUGGAUUUUAAUUUUAAAUUAUAAAUGGAGUUUUUUUUCCCGUAUUCUUUCAGUUUUAGUUUUCAAUUCCAAAGCGUGAUAAAUAGAUUUUUCUUUCCCGAGGAAAUUUAAAAUGAGGGAAAUUAAUGUUCUAGAAUUUGUAAACUAACACGACGCAAUAUUUGCAAAUCUGUGUCAUCUGUUAAGAUUAUGAUGUGGAACAGAGUUCCAUCUGGUAAGAUUUCGUAACCCUUGGGAUCUCAGACAAAACUGAUUAUGUCGGCGGUGUUCUAUAUAAACCGUCGUGGUUAUUUCAAUUCUUGUCAUUAAGUAGAUCUACCGACGUAGGAUAAGAAAAUCAAAGAAAAAAAUUGUUAACAAAAAUUCUUAUUAAGACGACCGUUAAAAUUAAAGGUACGACGUAUAAAAUGAAUAAAUACGACGAUAAAUUUUAUUGUACGAUUUAAAGAUAACGUAGUAGAACUAUACGAGAAUGACGUCGAUAUAUUUAUAUUUUCCGUCGUUGUAAAUUAAUUUAAUACGGCGAUAUUUUGUAUUUUAAAGCCGUGGAUUUGUUUGUAAUUAUACGGCGUCUUAUACGAAAACCUCGUCGUGUUAUUUUAUGAGUAAAAACGGCAGUUUUUAUUGAAAUCGUCGUCUUUACUUUCUACGUCGGUCGAUUCAUAACUUCUGCCGUUCUUUGUUGGCAUUGAUUUUACACUGAGGAAAUCUGUUUCAAAUAGACGUCGGUUGUUUAAUUAUGUACGUCGUUGUUUUUGAACAGCCAUUUGAAACUCCAUUUUUUAGUUGUCUAAGGUUGUAUUACACGACGGUGAUUUUAGAACCGUCGUCUUUUUAUAAACCACGACGGUUUUCACUUAGACCGUCGUUGUUUUCUGGUCGUCUUUUUCACUUUUUGUAGUAGUGUGAUUUUUAUAUUAUAUCUUUAAAGAGUUAAAACUGCACUAAUUGGAAAUAUCCCUUGUGCUCUGACAGCAUGUCUGGAGGAAGUCUCCUAUUUGCGGCUUACACAGUGCUCCUUCUUCUUCUUGUUCCUUCCUCUUGUUCCCAAACCGCUUCCAAUAAUAUUACAGCUGAUAACUCUGAUUGUAUCCGUUCUUGUGGAAAUAUUAACAUAAGCUAUCCAUUCCGAUUGAAAGGAGAAUCUAAACACUGCGGCAACAAAAGCUUCGAGCUAUCUUGUGAGGCCAAGGGAAAUGGUACUACUCAUCAUGCAGUGCUAUCCUUGUUUUCAGGAAAGUAUUAUGUACAAGCAAUCAAUUACAAUAACUUCACAAUCCGACUUGUGGAUGUUGGUGUUCACAAGAUCAAGGACAACUACUUCUCCCACCCACUCUUCUCCUUGACCCCCUUCAACUUUUCUUAUUACUCCGAUUAUACAGGUCCUCUUCCUGAGUAUUACCAUAUAGAAUCAUUAAUGUCUAUAAUCUUCCUGAGCUGUGAAAUUCCAAUGAAUCCUUCCGAUCUCAUUGUUGAAACAGCUCCAUGCAUCAGUGGGGUCAACAACUAUUCUUCUUCCAAUUCUUCUUUCUCCAAUUUAACAACAUAUUCUUAUUUCAUACAAUUUCGGUUUGGGUAUGGCUCUGAGAAUGACCGAAGUUUACACAAUUUGCUGGAUUCCUGCAAAAUAACACUAACGGUUAUGGUGUCCCCUUCAACUGAGGAGCACAUGACGUCUUGCAAAGGAAUAUAUAAUGAAAUAGCGCAUGGCUUUGAACUCUCAUGGCUUCAUCAUGCAUGUAAAGUAAUGUGCAGAUCAGGGGAAUCUUGCAGGCUGAACCGCAACGACAAUGGAAUCAACUGCUUCCAACGCCGGUUAAAUUUAAUACCAAAAGGUUAGAUAAUUGCCAAACCUUUAAAUUAUAAAUUAUAUAUUUACUGUAGUGUCAAAUAUCAGUUUUAUCCACUUUGAUGACUAUGAUAGCAUGUUAAACCGUAAUUUCCAACCGUUACUAAGCUAAUGUUACAGUUUUCUUUUCAUAAUUUGUGUCUAACCAGAAUUCUCUUUAUGCAAUAUAGUCCCUUGGUACGGCGAGAUCAUAAUGUCCAUAAUCAAGAAAGGAGGUGAGUGGAUCCCUCAACUCUGUAAAUAGACGUUUACUUUUCUUUGGCCUUUUCGCUUGACUAACCACCUUAGUCAUUCCAUUGAUCGAUUGAUUUCUUUACUUCUGUUGCAGGAGACCGUAUUUAGGCUUUGACAGGCUUUUACCUAUGGGAGUGUCCAGAUUAUACCUUGGCCAGCUUCUGGGAUGUGCAGUCGCUUCCCUAGGUAAGAGAAUACUUGUGUGGAUCACUGGAACAUUAAUAUUCUUAUUUUGAUUGAGAUGGAUUUGCAAAGGAGUAUAUUAUUAUUAUUAUCAUUAUUAUACUUCGUGUUCAUUAAUUCCAUUUUUGUGAAACAUGCAGUACUACCAUACGUAGCAGCCAAAUUUUCAUUGGGUUUUUGUUGUUUAAUUGCACUGCUAAUAUACAAAUGGCGAAGAAGGCACUUGUCAAUGUAUGACAAUAUAGAAAACUUUCUACGGAGUAAUAAUAAUCUCAUGCCAAUAAGGUACUCUUACUCCGACAUCAAAAAGAUGACCAGACGUUUCAAGGACAAAUUGGGAGAAGGAGGCUAUGGCUCUGUAUACAAGGCAAAGCUCCGCAGUGGUCGCCUUGUAGCCAUCAAGAUGUUGGGUAAGUCCAAAACUAAUGGGCAAGACUUUAUUAAUGAAGUUGGUACCAUUGGAAGGAUUCGUCAUGUUAACGUGGUCCGACUUAUUGGCUUCUGUGUUGAUGGUUCAAAACGUGCUCUAGUAUAUGAUUUCAUGCCUAAUGGGUCUCUUGAGAAAUACAUUUUUUCUCAACAAAGAGAUAUGUCUUUAAGUUGCCAGAAAAUAUUUGAAAUCGCACUUGGAGUGGCUCGUGGUAUUGAUUACCUCCAUCAAGGCUGCGACAUGCAAAUUUUGCACUUUGACAUCAAGCCUCACAACAUUCUUCUAGACGAGAAUUUUACUCCCAAGGUCUCUGAUUUUGGGUUAGCAAAGCUAUAUCCAUUGGAUAAUAGCAUUGUAUCUUUGACUGCGGCAAGAGGAACCAUGGGAUAUAUUGCUCCAGAACUGUUCUACAAAAACAUUGGAGGUGUUUCGUACAAAGCCGAUGUAUAUAGUUUCGGAAUGCUAUUGAUGGAAAUGGCUGGUAGAAGGAAAAACCUGAAUGCGAGUAUAGAACAAUCAAGCCAAUUUAGCCAAAUCUACUUUCCGACAUGGGUUUCUGAUCAGUUGAAGGCAGGAAAGGACAUAGAAAUAGAAGAUGAUGCAACAUAUGAGGAAAAGAAGAUCAUAAAGAAGAUGAUGAUGGUGGCUUUAUGGUGCAUACAAAUGAAGCCUAUCGAACGCCCUUCAAUGAAUAAAGUAGUGGAGAUGCUUGAAGGAGAAAUUGAGUGCCUCCAAAUGCCUCCAAGGCCUUUCUUAUACCCACAACAAAUUCCUGCAGAUGAAGUUGGUGUGGACAAUCGAAGUCCCUGUGCAUCAAGUGCUUCAGAAUCUGAUGAGAUUACUUUGAUUGCGGAUGCAAAUUAAGUGAAUUAAUAUUAGUCACGAUGUGGAUCUAUGUAAGGGAAAGUUAGCAGCUCUACUCUGUAUUUGAUCAUAGCACAAAUAUGUUUACAUGUUGUAAUUGAUUUAAGCAAAUAAUCAGCCUCUGGCUUUGGUUAUUGUUUGAGAAACUGCCUGCCAGAAAUGCAAUGACUUGAACUUUGAUGACAAAUAGGUUUACCCAAAUGAAUUGCCCCAGAGAAACAAUUCAUUUGUAUAUGGAUAUGUUAUCGAGUGGGCUUAUUAUGCCUGAAUCAAGGGUUCAAAAUUAAACAAGAGCCUAUACGUCAAAUAAUCUCCAUAUCUGAAUUAGAAUCCAGUUCUACCGACAAUGACUAAACCAUAUGUAAGAGUUUACAGAGCCAGAGCAAAGCUACAGACUUGGAUUUGGACCAAAGUGAAACUCAAACUCAAACUCAAAAACCUUAGUGCAAGUCCCUAACCUCCUUAAUUUCUGGGGCUGAAAUCUGAUGCAACUCUGAUGUGGAAAUACCAUACCCCUUUUGUGAACUAGAGCUUAAUGGAGUCAGCAAUUUGGGCUAAUUAAAAGAUUGAAAAGUGCAAACUACACGACUGAACCACAGACAGGAACGAAGAAAAAGAUUAAAAAACAUUAGCCUAAGCUGCACAAUCCACAUGGGCCGACCAUGGAGACCUUCCAAAGGGAAGUGCCGGUUUCACUCAAUUCUAAAUUCUUAACAUAGGAAUAUGGCAGACAAACUUGAUUAACAAAUAAAUUAAAAUUAAAAAACCGCAACUAAACCAAUCUGAUAAGUGGUAGAGUGGUAUAAUCUUCUCUUCUGACAUAGAUAACACACAUCACAGAAGUAGGAGACAUUGCUGUUAAAACUAAAAGUUACACACAUUCUAUACACAACUCUGUUAUUAGAUCAUUGAUCCCAUCCUCAACCCUAAAAAAAGCUCUUGAUUUUUGAACAUAUAUCCCAACCAUUUUCAAAUCCACUAGGAUCGGCAUGAGACAGAUGUUCUAAGCAACUACUCUGUUUCUUUCUAAAUAAUGUUGCCUCCAUCCAUUUUCAAAUCCUCUAGAAUAAGCAAGCCUCCAUCAAAAAACACCAAGAGCCAUUAAAGGCAAAUGAGCUCUACUUGAUCUCUAUCAAAAAGACAACAAUAAUCAACUGAGUAACAAGCAAACAAGCUCAGCUAAGAUGUAGUAUUUUGGGAGGAGAAACAAAAAAACAAACUCAAUUGCAACCAUCACAAACCAGAAACAACAAAAGAGUUGUAGUUAAAAAUAUAUACAACAACUUAACCUAAAUCCACAAACUCAUCUUACUACUAAUUAUACAACAACACAUUCCUCGUUCCUAACUUGUCACAAUUUCAGAGACUUCAAUUGAAAAGUGAGAGAUUAAAAAAAUUGCCAUUUGCACCACACGCAUUGCCCCCAUCUCAAACAACAACCUGGCAAUCUCUUGACCCACCGGCCAAAGUACCCAACCCGCCUUUCGACGAAAGAGAAACCGCCACGCCACGGCACAAAACCCUCGAGAGCCGCCGCCUCAGCCUCCACCCACUUCUCCUAAACUCAACCCUAGCCAAAAGCCUCACGUUGAAGCUCACGCUCCCACGCGCCUCGUCUGCGUCGAUGCCGAGGGCAACCGGAGCGCCAACGAACGAAUUCGCCGCCAACAAAGUCGCGAUGACAGACGUCCGAUCCUUAGUCGCCUGAGCGAACGGCGGAAUUAGACGCCCUUGUGCAUUCCUAAUAACAAGACUCGAUGCCGAAUCACCAUUUGAUAAAACAUAACCGUCAAAAUUGAUUUAAUGUUAUCCUUUUG